UACCAGCACCCCGAGUGGUCGGGACGAUUAUUGGGCCUAAAGCAUCCGUAGCCGGUACUGCAAGUCUUCCGUUAAAUCCACCUGCUCAACAGUUGGGCUGCGGAGGAUACUACAGCGCUAGGAGGCGGGAGAGGCAAGCGGUACUCAGUGGGUAGGGGUAAAAUCCAUUGAUCCAUUGAAGACCACCAGUGGCGAAGGCGGCUUGCCAGAACGCGCUCGACGGUGAGGGGUGAAAGCUGGGGGAGCAAACCGG
rnacentral:rRNA from 1 species